AAUGACGAUACAUGAGAAGAGACACUAUUAUCUUAUCAAAGUUUUAUUAAAUAUUUGACCACUCGAAAAUUCAAUAUAUACAUGAUAUAAACUUGCAAGUGCAAUAAAAGAUACAUUAUGGUGCUACCAAUGUGGUGAUAGUUCUGCCACAGGUCCGUGUAUAACGGACACAGCUGGCAUGGAAGCAGAGUACAUAGAGUUUAAUACUACAAACUCGACUGCGAAAAAAGAUCAGCCCAUGUCUGAUAGUGGCACAAAGACGACAUAAUACCAAUAUCUAAAGAACUGCCAGAAAUCAGAAUAUGAUAGGUGUGUCAUUGAGAGGAUAUAAGAACAAGGACUACUCCAUGCAUAUAUACGGGAUUGUCACAGCAGUGCUAAAAACUAUUCAUUUAAUGACCCGAAGGUUUUAGAUUAAGACCCUGCACGUAACCACACAUCAUGUAUCUACGACGCAUUUUCAAAGAGAGUAGCUUGUGUCACUGUGUGUGAAACAGACUUUUGUAAUGGACCUCAUAUAGCCGGUGGAAAUUGCUGCCGCGCACAAACAUUAAUUGUUUUGUUUUAUUCAAUUCUUGUAUUUUUAAAGUAUAUUGUUUAAUGUAUAGUGCAACAUUGGUUAAAUGACAUUUUGAUUUUUAUUCUGGAAUACCAAAUGUUGAGUGCUACGCUUCUUGUGAGUUUUACAUACGAUUGGAUAAACAAAGUCAUUCGAUAUAUUUAGCUACACCGAUGAUUAUAUUUAGUACGUAUUAAUCUAUUUUUCACAAGCGUACACCAAACAUUGUGAAUGUCUGACAACGUCAUUAACAAUGGAAAUUAAACCAAUGGUGUCAAUUACCCACAAUCAUUUAGAAACACCGCGAUCUCCCAGUCAAAUAAAAACAAUAUUUUGUUACAUGUAAAAUAAAUCUUGUAUUUUGUCUCCUCUGACGUCAAACAACAACAGACGUUGUCAACGAAGUUAUAUAUACAUAAAAAAGCGAGAAUGCGUAGAACAAUAUAGUUAUUUGUUUUUUCCACUGUACUUGCAUUAAAAUUCACUGCAAUAAACAUAAUAACUAGUCCAAGAAUUCAGAUAUCGAAAAUAGUCAUUUCCUGACUGAUCAACACAAGUCUUAUAAUUCGCUU